AGUGAACGCUGGCGGUAGGCCUAACACAUGCAAGUCGAACGGCAGCACAGUAAGAGCUUGCUCUUACUGGUGGCGAGUGGCGGACGGGUGAGGAAUACAUCGGAAUCUACUUUUUCGUGGGGGAUAACGUAGGGAAACUUACGCUAAUACCGCAUACUACAUACGGGUGAAAGCAGGGGAUCUUCGGACCUUGCGCGAUUGAAUGAGCCGAUGUCGGAUUAGCUAGUUGGCGGGGUAAAGGCCCACCAAGGCGACGAUCCGUAGCUGGUCUGAGAGGAUGAUCAGCCACACUGGAACUGAGACACGGUCCAGACUCCUACGGGAGGCAGCAGUGGGGAAUAUUGGACAAUGGGCGAAAGCCUGAUCCAGCCAUACCGCGUGGGUGAAGAAGGCCUUCGGGUUGUAAAGCCCUUUUGUUGGGAAAGAAAAGCAGCAGGUUAAUACCCCGCUGUUCUGACGGUACCCAAAGAAUAAGCACCGGCUAACUUCGUG
rnacentral:rRNA from 1 species